ensembl:lncRNA
GGCCCCCACAGCCCCGGUAAGUCUGAAUCAGGUUCCAGACUCUCCGCUCCCUGGAAGAUGCUGGACUGUGGCCUGUGGACCUGCUCCCUCCCCAGGGACACAGCCUGCUUCUGACAUGUCUCCCCAUUAGGGUCUUUCUCAGGAAUGUCCCUUGGGGAGCUCCAGGCCAGGACCACUGGGCUUGAAGCCAGAGGUGGUUGAUGCUGGACUGCCUUUCCAGGGAGGCCGCACCUGCCCCAAAGCCUCAUUUUAUAGCCCCUAGAGGUGAGUAUCCUUACUUAGCAGGUAUCAGCCUCAGAUGAGGGACUCUGUUGCUCUGAUGUUUCUUCACUGGAUGCCCAGUGGGCCCCUCAGCAGCUGUGGGGCUCCUUGGGAAUUGUUAAGAGCCCUGGAUUUUCUUGGUAGGAAGCAGCUGCCCCUUGGCCAGUAGUUGUUGGAUGGCCACUGGGUAAUGGACUCAGGAAAUUCUUGUUCGUGUAGGGGUUGGAGUCUUGUCACUCAACAAGCAUUGAUUAAAUGCCCACUUUGUGCCAGCCAUCAUACUGAGUGCAGGGCCGGUCUCAAUGUACCCCCAGAACUUGGCCCCUAGUCAGCAUUGAAUGCACACACCGAUUCUCCUGGGAAAAGGCCCCGAUUUGUAGAAGUGAACAGCUCGUUCUGAUGCAGGCCACCAGAGGAGGAAGCUUCAGAGGCUUCAUGCUGCAGGAAGCAUAUAUGGAGCAUUACUGGACUCUGGGCAUCUACACCCCACUGGAAAGGUCCAGUGUUAAUUCAGUGGAGAGAGCCCUUAAUCGAUGCUGAUUAUAAUUGCUAAAAGCUCCCUUUCUUAGUCUACAUGAAAGCUAUUAUUUUGGAUUGAUGGAAAUGAACCUCUGGGAAGCUUUUAUUUUGCCCUUGACUUUAGUCAGAAUAUUGAGCAAUUAGAAUAGGAUAUUGGCAAUUAGGUAGUAUAUUCAAUAGACUACUGGAAUCGGGAGAAUGAAUUCAAAUCUUGCCUCAGACUUUCAGUAGAUAGGGCAGUGGAUAGAGAGCACUGGUGCCUGGAAUCAGGAAGCCUCAUCUUCUUGAGUUCAAAUCCCACCUCAGACAUUUACUAGCUGUGUGACCCUGAGCAAGUCACUUGUUUGCCUCAGUUUCUUGUCAGUAAAUAAGAUAGAAAAAGAAACCCCAAAAUGAACUCAGUAAGAGUAGAACAUGACUGAAAAAACUCAACUUAGACACUACUAUCUGUGGCAAGUCAUUUUAUUCCUGCCUUAAUUUUUCCUUAAUUGUAUUUAGCUAUAACUCUUAUUUAAUAUUUUUCCCAGUUACAUUCAAAACAAUUAAAAAAAUUUUUUUAAACUUUUGAGUUCCAGAUUCUCUUACUUAUCUCCCAAACCCCCUUAAGAAACUACAUAUAAAAUUACACAAAACAUUUCCAUAAAAGUCAUGUUGUCAAAGAAAACUUAGAUCUCCCACCCUGUUUUUUUUUAAUUUUUAAAAAACUUUCCAAGAAAAAUAGCUUUUUAAAAAAAGAGAAUAUGAUUCAAUAUAUAUUUAGACACAAUUUCUUCUCUGGGUAUGGCUGGGAUUUUUCAUCAUAAGUCCUUCAGAGUAGUCAUGGGUCAUUGUAUUGCUGAGAAUAGCAAAGCCAUUCACAGUUGCUCAUCCCAGGACAUUGCUAUUACUUUGUAUACAGUAUAUUUUACUUUGCUUGAGUUUAUGGAGGACUUUAUAGGUGAUUUUUUUGGAGAGCAUCCUGCUCAUCACUUCCCACAGAACAAUAUUUCAUGGCAAUCGCACACCACAGUUCACUCAACUAUUCCCCAAUUGAUGGGCAUCAAUCUCUAAUUCUUCACUCUGAAGACUUUCUACUUUUGUGUAUAUCUUGGUACUUUUCCUUUUAAUAAAAGAAAAAGUUCCUUUUGUUAAAUCUCGUGAUAUUCAUGCCUAAUAAUGGUAUUGUUAGGUCAAAGGAUAUGCAUGAAUUUAUAGCCUUUUGAACAUAGAUUAUUGUAGAGGGUCACAGUCAGUGGGGGAACUCUGGGUAAAGCAUAAAACCCUCCAGCCCAGAGGGAACCUGCUGACAAUGUCUGGUUUGGCUCCUCAUCUCCCCUAAGGGCUCUCAGCCGUCCUGAGAAGUGUGUGUGUGUGUGUUGGGGGCUGACAACCUGUGUUGUGAUUGAAGCAGAGUGAUACCAGGUGGCAAACUACAUACAAUAGCAAGUUGUUUAUGUGGUCCCACAUGCACGGUAUAUAAGAGUAUGAGGGUAUAAAGAGGGGAAAGUCCUUGAAAUAAAUGGCUGAGAGGGCUGGAAAACACCAGUACCGUGCUGAUUCAGAAGUCCUGCUUUGCUCAGGCUGUUGCUGAACUUAAGCUGGAGCCCAGACUAUAUUAGUGAGUCCUGCACGCUGGGCUCCCAUCCUGUCUCCACAGACCUCUUCUGCUGAUCUUCUAAGUUGUCUCCAGUCAGAAACUGUUCUGGGGCGUUCUGAUGCUCUCAUUUUUUUUUGAGUCAUUAAAGAUUCCUUUAAUGGGAUUGGAUCCCUUUGAGGGAGAGGUGGUGGACCUCCUGCCUUUUACUUCAUCUUGGCUCCAUCUCCAGAAGCAAACCUCUGUGAUCAAGUGGAACAGUUCUGGUUCUGGGCUCUGGCCAGUCUUUUUCUGACCUGGUAGUGAAUAAUCCUUGCCUGGCCUCUGCAAAGCUGACUUUUUAAAUUAGCCUCCAGUGCAGAGCUGACCUUGAACCUUAGGCAUUCUUUCUGUAUCUUUUAAGCACUUAACUGUGCAUAAUGCAUCAUCCUUAAGCACCUGCUGUGUGCAAUGCACCAUCUGUGGCAGGGGUAAGGGUGAGAAAUAAAGAUGAACAAGGCAUCCCUGCCCUCAUGGGGAUUCUAGUCUACGGUGAAUGGCACAGAAACAUUGAGAAACAAAAGACAAGCUAGAGAAAGGCAGUGGGGAGUAGUACAAAUGACACCCUGUUGUGCCACAGUUCUCUUUUAAUUGUCCUGACUCAGUUUCCCUAAAUUGUUCUGAUUCAGUUUCCCCAAAUUGUUCUGCUUCAGUCCCCACACUGGCUAUGUGAUGUCCCCUUUUGUCAUCCAUAAGUGGGAUGCACCUCUCUGCUACUGACUCCUCCACUCUUGGGGCUACUCUGGGUAGAAUACCACAGAAACUGUAAAGUGUCAUAAUCAGGAGAAUUCUUGGGCAUGGUGAGAAAUCCUAGUUUAGAGACUGCAGCCUGGCUUCAAGUCCCAGCUUUGACAGCUCUCUGGAGGAUGGGCCUGGCAUGUGACUUCAAAGCUGCUGAGGAGGUAUGGGAAAAGGAAGUGGAGGAACAGCUCACCUCCAGCCACCAAGCACAAUCAACCCGUCUGGUGAGAGAACAAAGAAUAUGGAAGCCAUAGGGAGCUCAGCAGGAUGGGGCUCUUUCCAGGACAUUUUUGUCAGACCCCAGAGAAUUUCUAAUAGUAAUAAUGAGAGCUGCACAAGAGAGUCAUGAAGCACCAUUGGAUCAAAGGACAGAGAAAUCACAUGUGGUAGAGGGCUGUCCCCUGGUCCCACUGCUCUGAGCCAAUUUUUCUCUGAUUUCUUGUAUUAAAAGGGGAAGAGAGGACACUCAAAGGGGCCAAGAUGGGUCCUUUUCUCUGCUUUAGGAAAAGCUGAACAUAGGGUCUUUAGAUGAGUAAUUGUGCCUUUCCCUCAUCCCUUACUUAGGUCCUCAGUUUUUAGAGAGGGAUUGUCAUCCUCACCCCACAGACUGAACCAGGGAAAUUGAGACCCUUCCUGUCCUGCCCUGAGGCAGCUCCCCACCUUGUCUAAACUGAGCCAACCUCCUCCAGCAAAGCAGAGGGUCCCAUUCAUCAAGGAACAGCAGCCUGCAGGGACUCUGUCAUGACAUUCCCCUGGGGGGAAGGAGGAAAUCCUGCCAGAGUCUGGCAUUUAGCUGGCAUUCAGUGCUCCGCUGGCUCCCUCCACCAAUGUAUGCAGUCCUUCCCCAAGGAUUUUGCAUGGCUCAUUUCCAGAAAGAUGGCCCUAGGAGGGAUUUUCAGGGAUAGAAUCAUGAAGCUUCUUCCCCUGAAUGGUAACAAUCCCCAGCUCUACCAGGACAUCAUUGAGCAUGCCAGGUUUUGCACAGCCCUCCCAGCAUGGAAUUUAUCAUUAGAUUCAGGGAGCAGCCUAAAGGGCUCUGCUCUCGACUAGGCAGAGAGUGCCCAGAGUACAAGGAUUCUUCUGUUCCUUUGUGUCUCCCCCAGCUAAGGAAAAGGUUACAACAGUAAUGUGUCUGUAUACACUAAGUACUUCAUAGGGAGUGCAGGGUUUACCAAGUGUGUGUUGAUUAAAUGGGAAAAUCUCUGUUUCUUUGCUUUCUUUCCUCCUGACACCAGCUUGAACCUGCCAUUCCCCCAAAGGGGCAUGUUGUCUCCUAACAUUCCCAUUGAGACGUACAAGAAAAAGCCGGCUCAGUCUGCCUGGAGUAAGGGAAUGUAACCAGGACAUAGGGUUUGGUCAGUAUUUAUCCACUCGCUGUGCCACUAAGGGGCACCAUUAGUGUACAGUGCUGGGUCUGGAAUCAGGAAAACCUGAGUUCAAAUCUGUGCUCAGAAACUUCCUAGUUAUGUGAUUCUGGAAAAGUCACUUCAUUCUGCUUGCCUCAGUUUCCUUAUCUGUCAGAAAUGGCAAUCCAUUCCAGUCCCUUUGCCCAGAAAACCCAAAUGGAGUCAGGGAGAGUCAGACAUGACUGAACACCAAAUGGCCCGAUUAAUGUUCUAGAGUGCCUGCUGGUAAGUGAGAACGCUACAAGCUCCCAUUUUCCAUCCACUCUGUGGAUGCCUCAAUUCUCCCUCACCCCAGCCGCCCUUUCCUCAUCUGUAGAAGCAGCAUAAGCCCUGACAGCAGCCCAGCUCCAGGGAGACACAAAUGUUUCAGGCAAGGCCAGACCAGGAACCUGAGCAGCCCCUGAAAGGGAUGUUUGAUUAGUCUCCUCCCUGUGAAGCCCUGACUGUCACCAUUUUUAUCAGAAGAAGAAAGCCUUCAUGGACAUCUGUAGGAGGAAACAAGUCAGAAAGGUCUGCUUCCUUUGUCUGAAAAAUGAUCCGAGGGUCUUAAGAGACUCCAGCUCCCCUGACCUGACAGUAUGAUACAGCAGCCAAGAAAAUCAAUGCUACCUUGGGUAAUAGGACAACCAGAUUCCACCUCUGGAAAAGAAUGGGGGAGAUAAAGGACAGAAUAAUUGUGCCCCAGAGUUAGAACUAGGAAAGAGGGGCAAAUUUAGGGUGGACAUCAGCAGAGAUCCCACCAGUAAGAGCUGCCCUGACUCUGGAGACUGCUUGGGGCAAGGGAGAGAGAAGAGUCUGUCUUAUGGCAGGGCUGUCCCCACCUUGUCCAGGUUGGAGCUUGUGUCCAGCAGCAUAGAACCUAUCCAGAGCCAGGGGAUCAUUUCCUUCCCCUGAUCCAUCCCCGAAGGCUCUCUACAAAUCCAACAGAUGCCUGGUCAGUCUGUCAAUAGCCCCCAUCUAGGAGAUGAAAGCAGAGCUCAAGGAUGGGAUGUCCUUCAUGUAGAGUUCAGAAUCCAACUGGAAGGUCAAGGCCCCGUUCCCUAACCACUGCUCAAGCCUCUUUACGUGGCCCCAUUAAGGACAAUGAUAUUGGGGACUGAGGGAGAACUUUAUACUCUGGUUUUUUGGAAAGGAUUGACUUGGGGGAAGACUCCUGGUCCACCUAUGGCCUUGGUAUUGUAAUUCAGAAGACAUACCUAUUGUAUACCUGCUGUAUACCUCAUCUUUUCUCAGAUUCCUGUGCAACUGGGGUUGGCCUAAAGGCUUUGGGAUAGCAAAGGAAUGAAUGAGUGUUUUUCCUUCCUCCCUUCUCCAUCUUCAGUGACCUUGGUGGGGGUCCUCCCUCCACUGAUGCAGAUUGCGACCCUCUGCCUCACUAAAUGAUCUUUGAAGGUCAUUGUGGCUGCAGGAUCCAUCCUUCAUUUAGGAAGGAUGGUCCUCUGAGAGCAGAUUCUCUUGUCCAUCUCUGGACCUGGGCUCAGAGCCCUCCCAGCCUGCUUGAACCUGCCAUUCCCCCAAAGGGGCAUGUUGACUCCUAAAAUUCCCAUUGUAGAUUUAACAUCAUGUGUUUGAGACGUACAAGAAAAAGCCGGCUCAGUCUGCCUGGAGUAAGGGAAUGUAACCAGGACAUAGGGUUUGGUCAGUAUUUAUCCGCUCACUGUGCCACUAAGGGGCACCAUUAGUGCACAGUGCUGGGUCUGGAAUCAGGAAAACCUGAGUUCAAAUCUGUGCUCAGAAACUUCCUAGUUAUGUGACUUUGAAAAAAUCACUUCAUUCUACUUAUGGGAGGGCUCAUCAGAGCUUGUUCUUUGGAAGGUCGAGGAGGAGGAAGAGGAAGAAAAAGAGGAGGAGGAGGAGGAGGAGGAAGAAAUGUCAAUAAAAUAACUACAGUAGGGGGUGGAGGGCUGUGCAUCAGCAUAAGUAGUCAUUUAAGAUAAUGAAGCAGGGUAGAAGGGCCAGCUAGUGAGGUUCAUUAACACAGGAGAACCUAGUGAGGUGAGAGCAGGCUGCAAUCUGCAUUUGUGGGUGCAAGGGAUGAACCAUGGGGCCUGGAAGCUUGGGACACGGACAUUUGAGUCUCACUGGAUCUCUUUUCCAGUUUGCCAUCCACAUGAAUUAAUCAGGUUUAUUGUCAUUCAUCAUAUACUUUUGGCUGCUGAAGAGCACUGAGCCUAGACUCAGGGAGACCCGAGUCCAAACCUAGUCUCAGACCCUAGCCAAAUAAUUUCACCCCUGUCUGCCUCAGUCUUCUCAUGUAAAAAAUGGGUAUCAUCUCUCUCAGGGUUUUUGUGAGGAUCAGAUGAAAUAAAAAUUAGUGUCAGGCAUCUAAGAGGUGCUAUAUAAAUCCGCAAGUGUAUAGCUUUGCCAGUAUCUAUGUGUGUAUUUCCAACUCUCUCCUGAGCGCCUUUACUCCCUUCAGCUGUCAGCUGGACACUUCCCUCUGCACACAGCAAGGGCAUAAGCAGUGCUUGGUUAAUUGACUGACUGCUUAGGCUGCUCCAGGCUGACCUGCCACUCCCUCCCAUCUCUCUCCUUGCCACCCCCUCCGCUGCUCUUGCUGCCUGUCCUCCAUCGGACUUGGGGUAUCUGGGACGUAUUUGGCUCUUUCUUUGGCUUAGAUCUGAUAAGCGUUUGCUCUGCACCUACUGCAUACAGGCACAGGGUGGGGGUGGGAAAAGAGAAUGGCCGCCUCGGAAUCCCCUCUCUGCCCAAACAGGCUCUUCCCCUACCCAGCUCUUAUCAAUUCCUGCCCCUUCUCUGAGCCCCCCAAAGCUGGACGUCCAUCGCAUCCUCGGUGUCUCCGGGAUGGGCUCCUACCCUCAGCCCCCUGCCCAGCCCUUGCAGGACCCCUCCCGGCGCCGCGGCCCUCCCCCACCCCGGGCUUCUCCGGGAACUCUGCUUAGUGGCGGUUCCGAGCCUCCCUCUCCCCGAAUCUCCCUCCCCCCAGCCCCCAGCCCCGUUCCUAGCCGUUGUAACGGCUGAACUUGGUGUCUGGGACUGGUACAUGCGCGAGUCCGGCCGGAGGAAGGAGCGGGCAGGGUCGGCGGCCGGUCUUCAGUCCCUGAACCAGUCUUGCUGCCUCUUCUCAACUGGUUUUUUGCCGCAAGUGAAAAUAUUUCUAGUAACCUGUCCAGAGUUCCUUUCUCGCACAUCUCUGACGGCUGUCCCCGAACUCGGCGCCGGGCGGGAGGACGAAGGAAGCCCCCAGGAGCCCUUCUCCAAAAAUGGAUUGUGCCCAGCUUUCUGUCCACUGGGUCGGUGGUAGAUGUUGUGGACAGCUACUCUAGCUGUAGAGAUUUCAGAUGGAAGAUGAUGACUGUCUCCAUCUGAUACACUAUGAUAAAUAUGGCAGCUCUAUAUAGCUAUAUAGCUCAAGCUGACUCGGUCUGUGACAGAGGAGACUCAACGAGUGGACUGCCAAACAUGGGUUGAUGACCCUCAGUCUCUAGUACAGAAUAAGUUGGUAUCUGAAUUAAAGAUGGCCAGUUCCAGGAUCACAGCCUAUGUCUCUUCAUGGACCUAUUAUUGACUCCAAAGUUCCUGCAGCCUUAUUGUUGAAUUGCACAGCUUCAGUUAAAGGAAGAAAUAAGAGGAGUACCCCCCAUUCCAUAGGCAUAAGCCAUUCUGUUGGAAUAAUAGACCCAUUUCUGUCCACAGAAGAGUCAGUGGGGGCAGUCCAAAAGCUGCUAGAGUUUUUCUGAUCCUCCACGACCCGGAUGUACUGGCUUUUGACAAUGGAUGCCCUUUUUCAUUAACAUUUCAGCUGUGGUACCAGAAAGGGAAGAUUUGGUGCUCACUUGUCACAUCCUUGGCAAGUCCAGGGAGCGGGACCAAUUGUUAGAGAGAAAAGCUGGAUUCUGGCUAUCGUGGACAGCAGGACCCCGGGCGACCCCUGCAGCUGUCAUUCAGUUCUCUGACCUUUUUGAGGUUCCUGGAGCACUGCCUCCAGAAUGCCUGGUGGCAGCCUUGGGAGCUCCCAGGAAGGGAGGUGAGACCGGCAUGGGAGCAAAGGCUGAGGGGGCUCCUCACCGCGGCGGUGGCCUCUUUCCGCUCCUCUCCUUCCUUUUGAAUAUUCUGGUUUCAUUUUCCACCAAGGGUUGGUACAUUCUAGUGUUGUGGAUCCGGAUGAUGUCAUAGUACUGUUCUCUUGUGUCAUCAGCAUCGAAGCUCGUGCCUUGCAGUCUGCCCUCGAUGUUAUUGUACCUCGUUGUCCAGGAGAUGUUCUCACAGUUCUUGGCUCUGCUUCACUUGAUGCCGGACAAGAGCAAGAUCUUGGUCACCUGGACCAGAAAUAUUGACCUGCUCAGGGAGGACACAGAGGCCAGCAGCCAAUCCGCGGACCUGUGGUAUCCGAACGUUAGCCCCACGCGGGGAGAUGAAAAAGGAGCAAAGGUCGGAGCCGCAGAUGACCGGGAGCCCGGCCGCGUGGGUGCACCUCCCGGGGAGGCCGAAGCGAGGCUUGGCUUCACAGAGCAUGACUUUCUUAGGCCUGUCUUCUAGGAUUUCACCUGAAAAACGAUGGACUUCUCGGUGGUUAUCUGGGACAAGCUGUCCUAAGUUGGAGGGUGCUGAACUCCCGGCCGGCUGCAGUUGGGACGGCAGCGAUCUGUUCUGGGAGCCCGGAGCUUCGCCUCGGUUGUUUGUGACGGCCUUGGCCGCCGCCUCCGGAAGCAUCACGUUGUUCCUCGGGGCCUGCUUUUUUGUGGGGACCCCGCGGCCCCGACUCUGCGGUCGGCCCGUCUCAGGAUAGGACCCCAUCUCCAGGCGUUCGUUGCAGUUUGGGAAGAAGCCCUCCUGAAGGGGGUGAAGGCGCCAGGGAGACCUUUCUCUGGGAAUAGGUGAAGAGAGCACGAAUGGCCAUCUCCAGAGGCUCAUAGAACAGAGAGCUCUUCAUGGCCUCGUGGCGUCCUGCAACUCAGCAAGGAGCUUCCCCUCCUGGUCCCAGCUGAAGAGCAUGAUAUUACAGAGGAGCGAGCUCAGGCGCUCCAGCAGAGCGCGGCCGCAGCCGCCUGGAGGGCCCCGAAGAGAGCCAGCCAGACGUGAUUGGUGCCGAGCAGAUUCGAGGCUGGGGGAGGCAGGAGUCCUUCCUGCUGAGGGGCUGCGCCUUGGGCUUCGGCUCAAACGUCUGCCUCGGCGACUCCUCUGAGAGCCAGGUCUGGCCCAGGAAGAGCCAGAUGUGCGGGUUGGAGAGUUUUCGACCUUGACCCUGCUCAGGCACCAGCUGGGCCGGCCGCCUUGGGUGCUGUCCCACAGCUGGAUGGCCCGGAUGGCCCCCCACGCCAUUUAUAAUGGUCAGGAGCAAGGUGUCGGUGCUGCCCCCGGAGAAGGGGGUGAAGUCGGCGUGACUCGGGAAGUGCUCCUCGCUAGCCUUGCGGGUUCUGUUCCCAGAAGCUGGAGAAAGACGUCGGCCCGGGUGCCGAGCCCAGGUAGCUAGCUCCCUGUGUAGAUGACCAGGUAGCAAAUGUAUUCUGUUUUGUUUUUUUAAGCAAGUUGUAAUCAAUAGAGAUAGGCCGUUUCAUAAAUAGUCUUUUUCUAUUCUAAUACAUACAUGGAAAUAACCAUUUUAUUUGGUGUUUCUUAUGUUCAGAGUAAACAUGAGUUUUAAGAAAUUUGCUGACAAUAUGAUAGUUUACUUUGAAAAUCUUACAGAAUCAGCAAAAAUGGUGAUUGCAACAACCGCUUUAGCAAAGUUGCAGGCUACAAAAUCCUCAGAAAUCAACAUUUCUAUAUAGCGAAAUAUAAGCGCUAAUAGUAAGUAGCGAAAUUCCAUUCCAAAUGCCUAUAAAAUGCAUAAAAUAGCUGGAGACCCAGUCUCCAAAAGCAAGCCAAAGAUUUCUAUGGAUUCAAUUACAAAGAAAUAAAGAAUUUGAAUAAUUGGAGAAAUAUUCAGUGUUCACGACUAGGCCAAAAAAUAAAUAAAUAAAAUAAAAAAUGAAAAUACCAAAAUUUAUACCUUUAGCAUUAUUAAAUGACCAAGGGGAUAAUUUAUAGAACUUGAUAAAAUUCAUUUAGAAAAACAAAAGAUUGAGAUUUUCAAAGGAAGUGGUGAAAAGCAAGGAUAAAAAAGGAAUAACAUUUCCAUUUAUUCAAAAUAAAUCAGUCACCAUCAAAAUCACCUGGUAUUCACUACACACCUGUCAGAUUGUCUAGAAUGACAGGGAAAGAUAACACAGAAUGUUGGAGGGGAUGUGGGAAAACGGGGACACUGAUACAUUGUUGGUGGAACUGUGAACACAUUCAGCCAUUCUGGAGAGCAAUUUGGAAUUAUGCUCAAAAAGUUAUCAAACUGUGCAUACCCUUUGAUCCAGCAGUGUUUCUACUGGGCUUAUACAUAACCCAAAGAGAUACUAAAGAAGGGAAAGGGAUUAUUGUUCUGUAAGAAAUGACCAGCAGGAUGAAUACAGAGAGGCUUGGAGAGACUUACAUGAACUGAUGCUGAGUGAAAUGAGCAGAACCAGGAGAUCAUUAUAUACCUCAGCGACGAUACUGUAUGAGGAUGUAUUCUGAUGGAAGUGGAUUUCUUUGACAAAGAGAUCUAGCUCAGUUUCAGUUGAUCAAGGAUGGACAGAAGCAGCUACACCCAAAGAAAGAACACUAGGAAAUGAAUGUAAACUGCUUGCAUUUUUGUUCUUCUUCCCGGGUUAUUUAUAACUUCUAAAUCCAAUUCUCCCUGAGCAACAAGAGAACUGUUCAGUUCUGCACACAUAUAUUGUAUCUAAGAUCUACUGUAACCUAUUUAACAUGUAUAGGACUGCUUGCCAUCUGGGGAAGGGGGUGGAGGGAGGGAGGGGAAAAAUCAGAACAGAAGUGAGUGCAAGGGAUGAUAAUGUAAAAAAUUACCCUGGCAUGGGUUCUGUCAAUAAAAAGUUAUUUAAAAAAAACAACACCUGGUAUUGGUUAAAAGAAUAGAGAUCAAUGGAGCAGACUAGACAAAAGGAACCAAGAAACAAUAGAUCUCAAUAACCCAGUGUUUGAUAAAGUUGAACACACAAAUUACCAAGGGAAAACCUUAUUUAAUAAAAACUUAAGGGAAAACAGCCUAACUGGAUGUACAACUUUAAUGUUAAAGAUAUUACCAUAAAAAUAUUUG